rnacentral:rRNA from 1 species
UACGGAGGGUGCAAGCGUUGUCCGGAUUUAUUGGGUUUAAAGGGUGCGUAGGCGGCCCGUUAAGUCAGUGGUGAAAGCCUCCAGCUCAACUGGAGAACUGCCAUUGAUACUGGCGGGCUUGAGUACAGACGAGGUAGGCGGAAUUGAUUGUGUAGCGGUGAAAUGCAUAGAUACAAUCAAGAACACCGAUUGCGUAGGCAGCUUACUAGGCUGUAACUGACGCUGAGGCACGAAGGCGUGGGGAGCGAACAGG